rnacentral:rRNA from 1 species
UAGCUUGCUACCUGACCUAGCGGCGGACGGGUGAGUAAUGCUUAGGAAUCUGCCUAUUAGUGGGGGACAACAUUCCGAAAGGAAUGCUAAUACCGCAUACGCCCUACGGGGGAAAGCAGGGGAUCUUCGGACCUUGCGCUAAUAGAUGAGCCUAAGUCAGAUUAGCUAGUUGGUGGGGUAAAGGCCUACCAAGGCGACGAUCUGUAGCGGGUCUGAGAGGAUGAUCCGCCACACUGGGACUGAGACACGGCCCAGACUCCUACGGGAGGCAGCAGUGGGGAAUAUUGGACAAUGGGCGAAAGCCUGAUCCAGCCAUGCCGCGUGUGUGAAGAAGGCCUUUUGGUUGUAAAGCACUUUAAGCGAGGAGGAGGCUACUUGGAUUAAUACUCUAGGAUAGUGGACGUUACUCGCAGAAUAAGCACCGGCUAACUCUGUGCCAGCAGCCGCGGUAAUACAGAGGGUGCGAGCGUUAAUCGGAUUUACUGGGCGUAAAGCGUGCGUAGGCGGCUUUUUAAGUCGGAUGUGAAAUCCCUGAGCUUAACUUAGGAAUUGCAUUCGAUACUGGGAAGCUAGAGUAUGGGAGAGGAUGGUAGAAUUCCAGGUGUAGCGGUGAAAUGCGUAGAGAUCUGGAGGAAUACCGAUGGCGAAGGCAGCCAUCUGGCCUAAUACUGACGCUGANGUACGAAAGCAUGGGGAGCAAACAGGAUUAGAUACCCUGGUAGUCCAUGCCGUAAACGAUGUCUACUAGCCGUUGGGGCCUUUGAGGCUUUAGUGGCGCAGCUAACGCGAUAAGUAGACCGCCUGGGGAGUACGGUCGCAAGACUAAAACUCAAAUGAAUUGACGGGGGCCCGCACAAGCGGUGGAGCAUGUGGUUUAAUUCGAUGCAACGCGAAGAGCCUUACCUGGUCUUGACAUAGUAAGAACUUUCCAGAGAUGGAUUGGUGCCUUCGGGAACUUACAUACAGGUGCUGCAUGGCUGUCGUCAGCUCGUGUCGUGAGAUGUUGGGUUAAGUCCCGCAACGAGCGCAACCCUUUUCCUUAUUUGCCAGCGGGUUAAGCCGGGAACUUUAAGGAUACUGCCAGUGACAAACUGGAGGAAGGCGGGGACGACGUCAAGUCAUCAUGGCCCUUACGACCAGGGCUACACACGUGCUACAAUGGUCGGUACAAAGGGUUGCUACCUAGCGAUAGGAUGCUAAUCUCAAAAAGCCGAUCGUAGUCCGGAUUGGAGUCUGCAACUCGACUCCAUGAAGUCG